CGCUUUCUUCAUUUCAGUCUUUCCUAUGGACCGUCAACACGACUGCACUACUGAAGAGAGUAUAAUAGGUCACCGAAGUGCACCUGUGCAUUCACCGUUUGCUUCAGAGGCGGAUGCAGCUCUGGAUGAUUUCCCAAUAGCCCAUCCACUCCUUUCCACAGGAGGAAUGCUGAACUUGCCAGUUCACAAUGGAAGGAAAGGGAAAACAAGAGGCAAAGAGUGAGAAACUCAGAGAGAAACAGAAAUUCUACAGGAAUACAGCUGAACACAACAGUCUGCGCAGAAGAAGCGUUAACCGAAGCAACAGGAGAUCUAAACACUGUCUCUUCCAACACUUGUGAAGUUUCCUUCCAAGUUGGCUGCGCUUCUGCCUCUAUUGCAGUAGUGCCAUCCGAGAGUAAUUUCAUCAGAUGCGAUGCUCCAAUAAUCAGUGUGACUGUAAUCAAUAGCUGUAAG
rnacentral:lncRNA from 1 species